UUACACAACACAAACUUGUCCAUGUGUACAUUGCUUCUUCCUCCACAGUGUUUCCUUGCUGAGCUGCAGCAGAUUAACAUCAACUGUGAAUUUUGCACUAAAGACUUCAGAGAACAUCCUCUUUAUUUGACUUCACUGGUUUGACUUAACUUAACAUUUCAGAGUUGGCUUGCUUCAUACUGUGAGAGAGAGAGAACAGGAAAUAAACUUGAAUUUGGUAGCCAAGUAUGAUUCAUAGACUGUACGGACUGGUUUACCCUCCCACUGGGUGUGUGUGUGUACUCGUAUAAUGGUCCCAACAAGCAUGACUUGCACUUUAUUUUCCGUUCAUCUUCGGACUGACGCUUUGUUCAGCUCUGCAUCACCUCCAGGCUCAGCCGAUACAAAUCAGCCGCAGAACCAUGGCUACGGUGUUUAUUGAAUAUUGUGGCGGAUGAGGUUACUCAUCCCGCUACAGGGCACUAGCCGGUGAGCUCGAGAGGAUUCCUGGUGUAAAGGUGACUGGACAAGUCGGGCGGUCAGGAAGCUUUGAGGUGAAGGUGAAUGGUCAGCUGAUCUUCUCCAAGCUUCAGAAGGGAAAGUUUCCUGAUCCUAAAGAGGUGGCGGAGAAGGUGAAGAACUGCAUUAAGAAUGGCCAUCAAGGAGGAAAAGGGGCGCAACAUCAAUCCAGCUAUCAUUAGAAGAUGGAGGUUGAAACGUCAGCUGUAUUCACACUGUAAGAACAACGGUUUGUUUCUUUUCAUGGUUCAGGACACAUUCGCUCACGGCUGCUAAUCUGAAUACUAAAGGGGAUUCAAACAUUAAAAUAUGACAUUAAGACAUUUUCAAAAACGUAAUUUUGGACCAAAAUCAAAACCUUAAAGUGUCGCCGUCAGCCAUGAGAAGAUCAGACCGUAUGUCUUCACUGUGAAUACAGACAAAGACGAGAAGAUGAUGAGGGCCACUCUGAGGAGCCAGGCACUGAUCUGCACUUCUGUUUAUGAAUGUGCACACUAAAAGUCUUGCAGUGUGUACACGAUGAAAGUCUAGAAGCUUUUCAGCUGACUGGAGCCUGAGGCACUGCUCUCGUCAUGGCCGUCUGAUAUUUACUCAUAAAUAAAUCGUCUCUACUGCUGCAUUACUCGGGAAUCUUUAUCGAGCCAAAAAUAUAUGGUUGUAUGGUGAAUAUGAAGCUGCCACCGGCAGCUUGUUAGCUUAGCAUAAAGAAUGAAAAAGGGAAAUCAGCUCUCUCAUGGCAACAAAAUCUGCCUUCUAUCACUUCACUUCUUUUCUAACAUAUCAAAUAUAUUUUAUAUUCAUACUUUUUCAAUUAUAUACAUGGACUAUUACCUGGAUGAUGUUUUGUAAUAAAGAGCACUGCCAUCUCUGUUAUUCUAGCAUGUUACCAGCUAAGAUGACCAUUAAACCAAUGACAAAUGUUAAAUAUGUGAUAUUUAAUUUGACUUGGAGCAUAUAGUUGAACCUUUUUAAAAACAACUUACAGUAUUGUUAUAAUGCUGUCAUCUAAUUUGUAAUCAAUUCCAACAAAACAUAAUUUCCUGAAGUGCAAUAAAAUAUCUUUGAAAAAUAA